UGGGUUAUUGCGUGUGAUGCCACCGGCUUCCGCCAACUCUCACAUGGCCGCCCACUGAAGCUAAGCAAGACUGCACCCGGUCAGUACCUGGAUGGGAGACCACAUGGAAAAGCUAGGUUAGACCUAC
rnacentral:rRNA from 1 species